GUGGUUGUGGCUCAGUGGUAGAGCACUUGCCUAGCAUGCGUGAAGCACUGGGUUGGAUCCUCGGCACCACA
rnacentral:tRNA from 1 species